rnacentral:rRNA from 1 species
UACGUAGGGGGCAAGCGUUGUCCGGAUUUAUUGGGCGUAAAGAGCGUGUAGGCGGCCAGGUAGGUCUGCUGUGAAAACUCGAGGCUCAACCUCGAGACGUCGGCGGAAACCAUCUGGCUAGAGUCCUGAAGAGGAGAGUGGAAUUCCUGGUGUAGCGGUGAAAUGCGCAGAUAUCAGGAAGAACACCCGUGGCGAAGGCGGCUCUCUGGGACGGUACUGACGCUGAGACGCGAAAGCGUGGGGAGCGAACAGG